rnacentral:rRNA from 1 species
UACCCGCUGAAACUUAAGCAUAUCAAUAAGCGGAGGAAAAGAAACCAACAGGGAUUGCCCUAGUAACGGCGAGUGAAGCGGCAACAGCUCAAAUUUGAAAUCUGGCUCUUUCAGAGUCCGAGUUGUAAUUUGCAGAGGGCGCUUUGGCGUCGGCAGCGGUCCAAGUUCUUUGGAACAGGACGUCACAGAGGGUGAGAAUCCCGUACGUGGUCGCUAGCCUUCGCCGUGUAAAGCCCCUUCGACGAGUCGAGUUGUUUGGGAAUGCAGCUCUAAAUGGGAGGUAAAUUUCUUCUAAAGCUAAAUACUGGCCAGAGACCGAUAGCGCACAAGUAGAGUGAUCGAAAGAUGAAAAGCACUUUGGAAAGAGAGUCAAAUAGCACGUGAAAUUGUUGAAAGGGAAGCGCUUGCAGCCAGACUUACCUGUAGUUGCUUAUCUGGACUUUUGUCCAGUGCACUCUUCUACGGGUAGGCCAGCAUCAGUUUGGGCGGUUGGAUAAAGGUCUCUGUCACGUACCUCCCUUCGGGGUGGCCUUAUAGGGGAGACGUCAUGCAACCAGCCUGGACUGAGGUCCGCGCAUCUGCUAGGAUGCUGGCGUAAUGGCUGUAAGCGGCCCGUCUUGAAACACGGACCAAGGAGUCUAACAUCUAUGCGAGUGUUUGGGUGUCAAGCCCAGACGCGUAAUGAAAGUGAACGGAGGUGGGAACCCUUUGGGUGCACCAUCGACCGAUCCUGAUGUCUUCGGAUGGAUUUGAGUAAGAGCAUGGCUGUUGGGACCCGAAAGAUGGUGAACUAUGCUUGAAUAGGGUGAAGCCAGAGGAAACUCUGGUGGAGGCUCGCAGCGGUUCUGACGUGCAAAUCGAUCGUCAAAUUUGGGCAUAGGGGCGAAAGACUAAUCGAACUAUCUAGUAGCUGGUUCCUGCCGAAGUUUUCCCUCAAGAAUUA